UACGAAGGGGACUAGCGUUGUUCGGAAUCACUGGGCGUAAAGCGCACGUAGGCGGAUUUGUAAGUCAGGGGUGAAAUCCCGGGGCUCAACCUCGGAACUGCCUUUGAUACUGCGAAUCUUGAGUCCGAUAGAGGUGGGUGGAAUUCCUAGUGUAGAGGUGAAAUUCGUAGAUAUUCGCAAGAACACCAGUGGCGAAGGCGGCUCACUGGUCCGGUACUGACGCUGAGGUGCGAAAGCGUGGGGAGCAAACAGG
rnacentral:rRNA from 1 species